CCUGCACAUAGCAGGGGGUUGAAACUGGAUGAUCAUUGUGGUCCUUUUCAACCCAGGCCAUUCUAUGAUUCUAUGAACCAGCAGCCAUUGCCAUCCUCAGUGAGCCCAGCAGAGACAGACAGGACACGCUGCUACACACCCGGCUUCAGGCUCAGAUCCAGAGGACAGAGCCGGGAUGGCCCCAUUAUGUGUCUGUGUGCAGAGCAGGCUGCAGCAGGCAGAGCUGCAACGCGCAUGGAAGGGAAUGGAGGAAUGAUAGCGAGGUCACAAAACACAGUGUACUCACUCUAUUUUUAGAUGUACACAGUAAAAUAUAUCUUGCUAUAUGUCGGCUUGAGAACAAGGAUUACAUAAUCCCAAUUUGCUACUCCAGGGUGUUUUCCUCAAAAUAACCUAUUUGUUUUUAAGAAGCCUUUAUCUGUAAAUGCACUGGGUCACAGGGUGACCUGUGCCUAUAUCUGAGGGAGAAGGAAGAAGGCGGCGUGGGUUAGCUUUUCCUAAGGAGUCAAUUGAUUGGAAGGCCACAGUCAGAGGGUUGUGGUCAACAUCCCUGUGUCCAGGGGUCCGUUCUGGAACUGGUAUUCUGUAACCCCUUUAUUAGUGACACAAACAGUGGGAUUGAGUGCACCUCCAGCAAGUCUGUUGAUGACACCAAGCUAUGUGAUGUAGCUGAUAUGAGAGAAGGUAAGGAUGCCAUCUAGAGGGACCUGGACUGGCUUGAAAAGUGGACCCAAGUGAAUCUAAUGAGGUUCAACAAAGCCAAGUGUGGUACAUGGGUCAGAGAAAUCCCAGAUACAUGCAGACUGGAAGAACCGAGAGCAGCCCUGCCAAGGACUUGGGAGUCCUGGAGGAUGAAAAGUUGAAUGUGAGCCAGCAGUGUGUGCUUGCAGCCCAGAAGGUCAACUGUAUCCUGGGCUGCAUCAAAAGAGGAGUGGCCAGCAGACAGGGGGUUAGAAUUGGAUGGGCUUUGGGAUCCCUUCCAACCCAAGACAAUCUAUGAGAUACUGGCUAAUCCCCCCACACACACCCCAUGGGACAUCCGGCUCUAUAUAACCAACAGCCUUCAGGGUGAUGCUGCAAGGCAAAAGUUCCAUCUUGCUCCAGCAACAGGAGAAGGAGAAAGAAGCAGCUGGGAGGAAGAUCAAGCAUGACCUAGGAGGAAAAUGGAAGGAAGCACUGCAAGAAGAUACUGUCUGUUCUAGAUUUCUUCCCCCAAGGCAUCCCAGCUGAGCAGAAUGUUCUUAGGGCAAAAAGGGGCACCAGCAUUUUCCCCACCAAACAACCUGCCAAGUAUUUUUGCACUCGAGGUUGGCUGCAGCAUACGAGAGUCAGAACUCGAAUGCUUACAGAACAAGUACUUCAUUUCAAAGGUGUCUAACUGGUGAAACAUCUACAUCAGGAAAUUUAAACCUAAAUCUUUUGGCAGCUCAGUCAGAGCAGCAAUACCCACUUUUCAGCAGAUCUUUGAUUUCAAAUCACUGCAGGCAGCAUGCUGUAAUUUCAACCAGGCCGUAGAGGUAUUUUGUGAGCACAAUCUAAAAAUGCAGGCAGGGUUUAAUAUUUAUGAGAUUCAAAGCUAAGGACCAGAGUUCUCUCCCAAUUACGCUAGCACAUAAUUAUUACAGCUGAUAAGAGAACUGGGCUCGGGGAUGCUAACCCAGAGACAGCGAGCAGGGACACUGCAGAACAAGGCACAAGAAUGGAGCUGUGUUUUCCCAUUCUCCUGAAUACUUAAGGAUUUCCUUUACUAGUUCUCCAGCAAUUCAAGUUCAAUUUGAAAAGUGAGGUCAGAGGAAAAUGCUUUUCUCUGACCUUUUCUACAAAGCUAAUUCACAAGAUGAUUUUCUAUAACAUCUUCUAUACCUCCUCUGUCCACCUGAGAGAAGCUGAAUGCAGAUAAGCCAGCACCUCCCAGUCAGGGAGCUUUGCUUCACCUCUAGAGUUACUCUGCUGUGAUAAACAGGCAAUUUCCAGCUGGUUGGGUUCUGCUCUGAGUCUGCAAUUCCCACACAAUGAACACUGCACAUACAAGAUAGCAUAAAGCACUGCUUUAAUGCUGCUGAUGGGUACUGCUGGCAAAACACAGCAACAUCCCAUGGAGGACAGUAUCUGAGGACAGAGUUUGGUGCUUUGAACUAAGACGAUGUAAUGUCACCAUCGUGCAUUAUCGAUUUUGCUCAGCAUGAUGUCCGUGGUGUAGCAACUGCAAGUGGUUGAGCAAAGCUGAGUCUACAAUCCCUGCAUUGUAACUGGAAAUGCGACAUGAGCUGUGGGUGAAGGAGAAGGAAGGAACGGGAAGGCAGAAUGGGAGCAACACAAUGGGAGGACACAGUUGCACACUGGAGUCAUUGUGAAUUAUUCAAAAUCCUUUCAAAUGUUUCUCAAAAUAGUAAAUUCAGCUCUUCCCAAGGCACAGGCUGUGCCUAUCAUUAAUUCAGGACCAACAAUUCAUGUGUUUCAUACACACAAAUAUGGCAUUUCUUCACAGAAUGGCAAACAGAGCGUAGUCCUCUGAAUCCUAUCUUCCACAGGUAUCUCAAAGCUGCAAGUCUUUUGAACCUGACUGCUCCCAUAACCUGGAGCCACAAACCUCCUGGAAAGGAGGAGAAAUUACUCGUGGUGGUUCUGCUGAUGAUGGAGGAAGUCAGCAAGGAAUCAGCUUACCAAGCUUAUGUCAAGGAGAGAUUAUUUUUUCUUCUUUAAUCUUGCUCAAGACUUUUUUAGUGGGGGAAAUGAAAAGCUUUUAGGAGAAGCUGUACAUCCUAAUAUUCUACGAUCAUAAUGAAAAGAAAAACAUUA